CGGGACGAAAGAUCGAGAAGCGGGGAAGGCUUUAGCCCGGAGAGGAUCCAUGGCGGAGAGAUGUUAUCUGAUGCAAGCGAACGCGGCUUUCUCCCCGGCCCUUAAGAACGUAUGGUGCCAUCACCUCCCGCCGCUCGCCUCUCUCUCCUCUCCUCCCCUCUGCCCCUCCCUGCGCUCCGCCGUCUUCCGCCGCCGCGCCGGCGGAGGAAGAGGCGGAGCCCUCGCCGUCCGAUCCAUGACCUCCGCUUCUUUUGGUUCGAGGCUGGAGGAGUCCGUCAAGAAGACGAUCUCGGAGAACCCCGUCGUUAUCUACUCCAAGACCUGGUGCUCGUAUUCGAUGGAGGUGAAGUCGUUGUUCAAGAGGAUCGGAGUGGAGCCUCUCGUCAUAGAGCUGGAUCAGCUCGGUCCCCAUGGGCCGCAACUGCAAAAGGUGUUGGAAAGACUGACAGGACAAUACACAGUUCCAAAUGUUUUUAUUGGGGGCAAGCAUAUCGGUGGCUGCACAGAUACUGUAAAACUUCACCACAAAGGAGAGCUGACUACUUUACUAUCAGACCUGAAUAUUGGCACCAAGAGCUUGCAGCAGCCUUGAUAUUGUUCCCCAACGAAUGUUAUUCUCCAAGGACAUCUUCAACUUGAUGGUUAGACGUGGUAUACCUUUGGCUGCACCAUAGCGAAGAUCCGGAUGGUCCUGCUCCAAAAGCUUGCCAACAUCUACAACCCCCUCUAUUCCAAGCACUGGAAGCUAUUGUAUGUUCUGCAUCUGCAGUUUGAGGUAUGUAUAGCCGUGGGUUACAAAAAGAGGAAAAACGAGCUUAUUGAUAUUCAAAUAAACAAAAAUCACGAUAGAACGAACCUUCAAGGUAUUCUGACUUAUUUGAGCCCCGAUCCUCCGAAGAGAAAAAGAAAAAUAAAAGCCAGGUAUGGUUAAAGUUUCGGCCAAA